GGCUCUGUAGUGUAGUGGUUAUCACCCGGGAUUCUGAUGAAAGCCAUAGGCCUGUGUCGGUCUUCCCGUGACCCAGGUUCGAUCCCUGGCAGGGCCU